ensembl:lncRNA
CGAAGGACUCAAUAAGAAUGUAAAGUGUUUGCACACACACUUAAUUAUUAACGGUUUAUGAACUGUUAUAUUCAGAUUUGUAAUUGCUGAUUUUGCAAAUACCCAACAAAACAGGUUCUAACUGAAUGUAACUCUGAGACAUAAUUCACAUCUUUCCUAAAGGCCGACUUCGAAAGUGUCGUGGCUAUAAUUUAAACUCGUGGCUGCUUAAAAGCUCGUCUAGACCGAAGCUCAUCGCUUUGCUAUGACUGCCAUCCCAGCUUUUCUUUCCCGCGCACCCACAUGCAAUCCAUUUUUCAUGCCUGCUCUGUAUUGUAUUUCAGCUCGUUUUAUUCUGGUCCUCUGGAGAACAGGUGUGUUGUUUUUUUUUUCUUUUUGUACGAAAAAGCAAUGUGUGCUGCAGCCUGCUGAGCCCAGGCAGUUGGUUGGGUACAUCAUGUACUUGCUGGGAACCGAUGCCGUCUGUCGUCGAUGCCAGUAAUCGCUACCAACAGACAAUUAACUUCAGCAUGUCUUUCAAACUUCUCUGUGACUUAUUUUGUCUUUGCAAACUUCUCUUUCUGUAAAUAAUUAAGCCACUGAUGGAUUAAUUUCGUGUCCGUAGUGAAAACAGUGCCUAACAAAUCAUUCAACCCCAUUUAGGAUCAUAACAAACUUUCCCUGCAGUAUUUUAGUACCUGUAGUCUGGAGUCUUAGGAGCAUUCGUGAUGUUUGUUCCCGUGGUUGCAUCCUGGUGUGAGGCAAUGAAAUAAAAGCAUUUCAGCUCUUAAAAAUCAAACAUGUGGGCUUUAUACCUGCGAUUGAACAUCAAGCGGAAAGGUAUAAGGGAGCGUCGGCUCGCCUUUAUCUCUAAUGGGCCCCAAACUGCAGUGCUUAGACUGAAUAUGAAUGUUCUGCCGGUGAAUUAUUAAUGUUGUGGUGCGCUUCGUAUUCUGCCUGGCACUUCCAGAGGUGAUCCACCUCCCACGCGGAUUGGAAGCUGUCACCCGUAAUUGGAGAAAUCACGACAGCACGGAGUUAAGUGCUCCACAGUCCCCGGGUGAAGAAUCUGAUGGUGCACACUGCAGCACCAAGAGGUGGGAACAUUUUCCUAUAUAUUUUUUUUAUGGUGCAUUUUUUUUUCUCCUCCAUACCUCUGAAUAAUUCUCGUUCUCCAUCUCCAUCCAUCUUUUCAGGAUUUCAGAGUGUUUUUCAUUCUGCAGUAUUAGUUAACUUCCUGAAAAAAAUCGUAAUUUCCAAGGAUGUCAUUCUCAGCAAGCGGCAGCGAGGAAAUCUCGAGCUGAUGCUGAAGUCAGAUGGAGUGCUCACGGAUCAAGAUAAGCUGCAAUGACUUUCAUCACGACCUUUGACCUUGGCUACAACCUGCGCUUUCCGCUAAACAUAUUUCCUAAACCGUGUGAGGUGAACCGCAUCUGAUGAAAAACAUUGGCGGCGGCGCACAAGCCACCGCUCGUGACGACUCAGCGGCACAUUUUUCUGACAGAGUGACAACUCUGUGCAAAGUGUGUGGAUCUCCAGUCCCACGGUGCGCCCAGGGCGCCGUCAAACUGACAGCUCACAGCACAAAUGGACCCCUGUGGCCCAAAGAUGGAGGCAAAGUUGUUGCCACGGCAAAGAGUUUUGGUUGUCCGAUUGGUCCCCGCGAACAAAGGAGAUCUGUCAGCCUUCAUGACAGGGCCAAGAUUGCAGUGUUUUAUCC